rnacentral:tRNA from 1 species
UGGUGUAGUGGUUAAAGCGUUUGGCUGCUAACCAAAAGGUUGGUGGUUCAAACCCACC